rnacentral:lncRNA from 1 species
UUAGCCCGAUUUGCUUCACAUCAGGUUGACACGGAGGCCAGGAAGGCAAGGAGGUUUGAACUAGGACUGAAACCAUGGGUGCAGAAGGAAGUCGUCAUGUUAAAGAUCAAGACUUACUCCAAUCUUUUGGAAAGGGCUAUCAUUACCGAAGGAGGCAAUGAAGCCAUCACUCUAUUUAAGCAAGAAAAGAAGACCGGUUAGGAAGGUCAGAAAGGGG